GGGGGGAGCAAGCGUUGUUCGGAUUUACUGGGCGUAAAGGGCGCGUAGGCGGUCAGCACAAGUCAGUUGUGAAAUCUCCGGGCUUAACUCGGAAAGGUCAACUGAUACUGUGCGACUAGAGUGCAGAAGGGGCAACUGGAAUCCUCGGUGUAGCGGUGAAAUGCGUAGAUAUCGAGAGGAACACCUGCGGCGAAGGCGGGUUGCUGGGCUGACACUGACGCUGAUGCGCGAAAGCCAGGGGAGCGAACGGGAUUAGAUACCCCGGUAGUCCUGGCCUUAAACGAUGGAUGCUUGGUGUCUGGAGUUUUAUAGUCUCCGGGUGCCGUAGCUAACGCGUUAAGCAUCCCGCCUGGGGAGUACGGUCGCAAGACUG
rnacentral:rRNA from 1 species